rnacentral:lncRNA from 1 species
UAUCAAUCCAUAGAUGUUGGAAGACUUUGACGUCACCACAUAAAAUCUACAGGAUUCUGUGUAUUGUGUUUUCAAUUAAAAAUGAGAGUGUAGACUCUGUGAAGAUUCCAUGAGAAGUCAGUUUGUCUUGUUAUUGGUAUGGUGUUUUUUAGUUCUAACAACUUUUAUUUAUUGUUGUAAGAUGCCUAAGCAUACUAGGGAAAAAAAAUCACAAGUUAUUACGGUAAGUCAGAUGAAGACAUAGUGCAAUCUUUAAGAGAUGCUGUAUCUAAUCUCAAGGUUUCGAACAGAAAACUGAACAUGCCUAUUUUCGAUGGAGGAGAGUUGUCAUUUGACAAAUGGUGUAAAUUAGUUUCUAUGCAGAUAAAUCUUCUUGGCUUUACGAAUGAAGAAAUAAUCUCUAAUCUACUAUCCUUACUCAAGGAUAAACCGUUAGAGCUUUAUUUGGAACAUUGUUUUGAACUCAACAAUUGGCAUGAUAUUGAGAGAGCAUUACAGGAGUUAUUCCCGCCAGAAAG